AAGAACUUUGGACUUAACUCAAGAUAGCAAGAAACUUGUACAAUAUUCUGGACAGGCUGACAGUCAAUUAUCAGCAUCUUUUUCUCCACAGCAUUCAUUUGGUAUCCUCAAUUCCAAUUCCGGACAUGAAAAGAAGACCAUUUUUCCAGACAGUGAUUUCCUCCAAUAUCUCGUUUCCCAGUGUGUGUGUGUAUGUGUGUGUUUUUAACAGGCAGACCCAUGGGGUUACAGUCUUGCAAGCUUUGCAACUCAUGCCUACAAAGUAAGGAGGAAUGCUGGCCGGCUGGUGACUGCUUGUGUGUGUGUGACGACUGGAGAUACUGCUCUGACCGCUGCUGUGACAUCUGCUGCCAGAUGUGUGUGGACGUGUGCUCUGGCUUGUGUUCAGGAGACUGCAGCUACACCUUCUGUACUCUCUGCCUCAGCCUGGCACAGAUCUCACUGUCUACCACCCAACAAACUGAAACAUCAGGAACACAGAUUUUACAGGUAUGAUGGACCCAUUAUAACAUGGCUGAUGAACAUGUGACCAAACCCAAAAGAUGCAUUGGUUUGAUGAAAGAAUCCACAGAUUGAUUGACAAGUGCGUAUUGAAGAGAGUCUGGCUGCUUCCUUCCUGCAGCGACUGUGGAGCCGAGCUAUGGGCUGCUGUCUAAUGAGGACGGGGCUUAGAAGUGCAGAGACUCUGACAACGGAUGUAAAAGGAGAGCUGUCUGCAGUGCUGACAUAUGAAUACAUGUGUGGAUUUGUAAGUUCACAAAUAAUCACUAAUGGGGUAGAAUAGAAUAUAUGACAUUUUUAAUAAAGUCAAAAAUAAGAUGAUAUGAUGUUAGAAUGCCUUCUCCUGGAUCACAACCAUGUAAUGGCAGAGACUUCACCCUACUAACCACAUUUCCAGCCUCGUGCUGCACCUCAUUUCAUGUGGAUGGAUUUAUUUUUUUGUGUAUCUGGAUAUUUGGUUAUGAAAAAAAAGUGAAAAUGACUUUAUUCAUAUUUUUCAGUUCAGGACAAACAGGAUUCCCAAACAUCAGCCGAGCCAAAGUGUUGCAUUUUUCACAUCUGGAAGAUUAAACUGAAGUGUAGAAAUGGCCUCAUCCUGGCACACCGGCGGUACUUCAAAGCACUUGCUCAGAUGCCGGCAAGAUUGUUUUGCACUUUGAGGCAAACAAAAAUAUAAUUUGGUUGCACGCGGUGUACAAUCUGAUAUCUUUUUGUGAGAUAAGGGUGCCUGAGGACACAAGGUGCUAUUUGCUUCCACUGAAUUAGACCUUUUUAUUAUCCUCCAUGAAAUUGCUCGUUUCUGGAAAUUUUAAUGAUUGAGUGAGGCAUGUCCCAGCAUCAAAAUAAGAUUAGAAUAAGGUCUUACAAGGAAAAUCUAACAACAAAGAGAGUAUGAUGGGUUGCACUCGGUCCCCAACUAUACCUGUCUCUGUUUCUGUUUUCCCCUCCUCCCAUCCCUCUGGACUCUGCAGUGCAUUCAGUCUGACUCAAAUCCAUAUAUAUAUAUAUGCUGUCUAGUUUACUCCUUGAACUGACCUUAUCCUCUCAAAAGUUUGUGUACCUAUAUUCAUAAUAGCCGCAGUAAAUCCAGGUGGCCCAAAACUAUUUGUAUAUACUUCACCCACCAUGAUUGAUCCAUUGUCUCUGAGUGUGGUUUUGUUCUAUAUAUUUUUCAGCUUAUUUGCUUGUCUAAAUGUCUAGAGAGUGAAGGAUUGAAUUUGGAAAGUCUUAAUUUAAUAUCAGGUGAAAUAUUGUUGCACAAAUGUUGCACUGUAAUCAAUAAAGAUUGGGUACCUAAUUGCAGAAAACGUGCAACACUUUGCCUCAGAGAACUGUCUUUUGUGAAUGUGUCUCCUCCUGUAUUUGUUCCAUUUUGUCAACAGUGGGUCUUCUUCAUGUGGACUUUUUACAA